AGAGCGAACGCUGGCGGCAGGCCUAACACAUGCAAGUCGAGCGCCCGUAGCAAUACGGGAGCGGCAGACGGGAUAGUAACACGUGGGAACGCGCCCUUCGGUUCGGAAUAACUCAGGGAAACUUGAGCUAAUACCGAAUACGCCCUUACAGGGAAAGAUUUAUUGCCGAAGGAACGGCCCGCGUCCGAUUAGCUAGUUGGUGAGGUAAUGGCUCACCAAGGCUACGAUCGGUAGCUGGUCUGAGAGGAUGACCAGCAUCACUGGGACUGAGACACGGCCCAGACUCCUACGGGAGGCAGCAGUGGGGAAUAUUGGGACAAUGGGCGCAAGCCUGAUCCAGCCGAUGCCGCGUGGAUGAUGAAGGCCCUAGGGUUGUAAAGUCCUUUCGACGGGGAAGAUAAUGACGGUACCCGUAGAAGAAGCCCGGCUAACUUCGUGCCAGCAGCCGC
rnacentral:rRNA from 1 species